rnacentral:piRNA from 1 species
UGACACAUUUAAGAAACUUACUGUUGGGGCU